rnacentral:lncRNA from 1 species
UCCAUCUGAAUUAAGUAUUUCGUUCAUUUAUGAUUAUCAAAGCAAUCCUCAUAAAUGUAUCGUUCGUCAGUGAGUAAUGGAGCAUCUACUUUAAUUAAAAACUAUACUAGAUGAGAAGCAAUGUUUUAUAAAGUGGUGAACGCCACCGUUGCAAAUCCAAAUCAAAUCCGUGUUCAAGCGUAUUCCUAGUCUUCCGUUAGGAUAAACUAUCUCAAAUCACGUGGUCUGUUGAGUCGUACCCAUCUUGCGAAGCCCAUAACACAUACAGCAACAACAAAUACUCCUACAAACACUCCUAUUCCCAUGAUACCAGCAUGGCUGUGUUUCUGUUCCUCUUGACUUCUAGGUGUUGUUUUU